rnacentral:rRNA from 1 species
UACGUAGGGAGCGAGCGUUGUCCGGAAUUACUGGGUGUAAGGGGAGCGUAGGCGGGCGAGAAAGUUGAAUGUUAAAUCUACCGGCUUAACUGGUAGCUGCGUUCAAAACUUCUUGUCUUGAGUGAAGUAGAGGCAGGCGGAAUUCCUAGUGUAGCGGUGAAAUGCGUAGAUAUUAGGAGGAACACCAGUGGCGAAGGCGGCCUGCUGGGCUUUAACUGACGCUGAGGCUCGAAAGCGUGGGGAGCAAACAGG